AUUUCGUGGCUGACUUGGGAGCUUUGAGGAGCAAAAAGGAUCUUCCAUUCCAAACCUCGACCAAGGCUGCACUUGAAAAAAGCCAAUCGGACCAAGAGAUGCAUAUUCAGCCGCUUUCGUUGGGCUUAAGGCCCAACAUUGCAUGUAGAUCGAGUCAAACACAGAGAUUGAAGGCCCAACCAUGGGUGAAAAUGGUUUAAUUAGUGGGCUUGGUUGGCCCACUAGUCCAUUAUGUUUUUUGUUUUUUACUUUUGUGUGCUUGUUGUUGUGAAAACACUUGUAAAGUAUUGAAACCCAUGGCUAAGAACUUAGAUGAAAUUAGGAAACGCGAUGCGUGAUAUUGUUAGAACGAGUAGGAACCCGAAUCUUUUCUCAAAAA